GUGCCAGCCGCCGCGGUAAUACGUAGGUGGCAAGCGUUAUCCGGAUUUACUGGGUGUAAAGGGCGUGCAGGCGGGUCUGCAAGUCGGGUGUGAAAUUUCCGGGCUUAACUCGGACGGGUCACCCGAAACUGCGGAUCUUGAGUACUGGAGAGGAUAGUGGAAUUCCUAGUGUAGCGGUAAAAUGCGUAGAUAUUAGGAGGAACACCAGUGGCGAAGGCGGCUAUCUGGACAGUAACUGACGCUGAGGCGCGAAAGCGUGGGGAGCAAACAGGAUUAGAAACCCUGGUAGUCC
rnacentral:rRNA from 1 species